GACGAACCGUCCAAACGUUAUUCGGAAUUACUGGGCUUAAAGGGUGCGUAGGCGGCGAGGAAAGUAGGGUGUGAAAUCCCUCGGCUUAACCGAGGAACUGCGCUCUAAACUACCUUGCUCGAGGGAGACAGAGGUGAGCGGAACUUAGGGUGGAGCGGUGAAAUGUGUUGAUAUCCUAAGGAACACCGGUGGCGAAGGCGGCUCACUGGGUCUCUUCUGACGCUGAGGCACGAAAGCUAGGGUAGCGAAC
rnacentral:rRNA from 1 species